GUGGGGAAUAUUGGGCAAUGGGCGCAAGCCUGACCCAGCAACGCCGCGUGAGGGAAGAAGGCUUUCGGGUUGUAAACCUCUGUCCUUGGUGACGAAACAAAUGACGGUAGCCAAGGAGGAAGCCCCGGCUAACUACGUGCCAGCAGCCGCGGUAAUACGUAGGGGGCGAGCGUUGUCCGGAAUUACUGGGCGUAAAGGGUGCGUAGGUGGCCUUUUAAGUUGGAUGUGAAAUACCCGGGCUUAACUUGGGGGGUGCAUCCAAAACUGGGAGGCUAGAGUGCAGGAGAGGAAAGCGGAAUUCCUAGUGUAGCGGUGAAAUGCGUAGAUAUUAGGAGGAACACCAGUGGCGAAGGCGGCUUUCUGGACUGUAACUGACACUGAGGCACGAAAGCGUGUGGAGCAAACAGGAUUAGAAACCCGGGUAGUCC
rnacentral:rRNA from 1 species